rnacentral:tRNA from 1 species
CCAAGUAGUUCAGCUGGUUAGAACGCUAGCCUGUCACGCUAGAGGUCGUGGGUUCGAGCCCCAUCUUG